rnacentral:lncRNA from 1 species
GAAAGUUUCAUGCCAAAUAGGACAUGAAUCUUUCAAAAUUUGUAGGCAUUUUGAUCGUAAAGCUGUGAAUCAAAACCUUUUAUUGCUAAUUUGUGAUAAUCGUUGAGAAAAACAGAGUUUUUUGGAGAUUGAAGGCUUCGGUUCACAAAAUCAAGUAAGAAGUUUGGGUUUUUUUUUUUUCCGCCAUAUGAUUUAUUUUACGGCAUAUUUUGAACAUAAUGAGUUCAAUAAUUAGGGUUUUUAAUCUUUAUUGUGUCUAGUAUGAUUUAAAAUUUUCAAUUUUAC